UACGUAGGUGGCAAGCGUUGUCCGGAUUUAUUGGGUUUAAAGGGUGCGUAGGCGGUUUUUUAAGUCAGUGCUGAAAUACUCCAGCUUAACUGGAGGGGUGGCAUUGAUACUGGAAGACUUGGGUACAGAUGAGGUAGGCGGAAUUGACGGUGUAGCGGUGAAAUGCAUAGAUAUCGUCAAGAACACCGAUAGCGAAGGCAGCUUACUGGGCUGUAACUGACGCUGAUGCACGAAAGUGUGGGGAUCAAACAGG
rnacentral:rRNA from 1 species